rnacentral:pre_miRNA from 1 species
UUGCCCCAAAUGCCCAAUUGAGAGAGAGUCUACUGUUUUUUUUAAUAUUACAGUAGACUCUCUCCCAAUCGGGCAUAUGGGGC